rnacentral:rRNA from 1 species
GGUAUUUUGACUAUACGAAGGUAUUGAAAUAAGGCUUUAAAUGGGUGCUAAGAGAAUGGUUUAACAAUCAUCAGCUUUCUUUAAUUAAAUAAUUGAAUUUAAUUUUUUUGUGAAGAAGCAGAAAUGUAAAUUAGGGACAAGAAGACCCUAUGAAUUUUUAUUAUUGUAUAAAAAAUUUAUUUUUGUGCAAUAAUUUGAUUGGGGUGAUAUAAAAAGAAUAUUUAUCUUUUUGUAAUAAUUUAAUUUGAUCCGCUAAUAGCGAUUAUUUGUAAAAAAUACUCUAGGGAUAACAGCGUAAUAAUUUUGGAUAGUUCAUAUAGAUAAAAUAGUUUGCGACCUCGAUGUUGGAUUAGGAUUCUUUUUUGGUGAAGAAAUUAAAAUUAAGAAGUUUGUUCAACUUUUAAAUUCCU